UUUUCCUUUGUGGUCAUUAGGAUAUGCCUGCUAAUCUGGCGCCUGACCCAGUGUAACUGCAGCCUACAAAAGCCCCAACACCAAUGUGGAACCAUAGGAGUUUGGGACAGGACAUGGAGUAUCAUUGACAAAACAGUAAAUCUCAUAGGGUCUAAUUGGAACAAGACUUUGAAGCUCUAACAGCUUUGAAGCUCUAACAGGUUAAAUAAUGAUGCAAAUGACUUGAGAACUGGAUGGAAUCAAAGGCAAAAUUAAAUUAUUCUUUUAAGAAGAAAGUUCUUCAGAGAGCUGGAUAAGAAGAAGACGCUACCGUGAGAAGAUGGCCUUCCAUGAACCAGAGAGCCGGCUCUCAUCCAACACCACUCUGCUGACAAAUUGAUCUUGGACUUCACAGUGUCUAGGACUGAAAGAAGUAAAUGUCUAUUGCUCAUCAGCCGUCCAGUCCAAGAUAUGUUGCCAUAGCAGCCCACACAGACUAAGACAACAAAUACAAAAGGCGGGAAUAUGGGAUGACCAAAUCUACUAACGUUAUUAUGCAAUUUUCAUAUGCUCUCCCUGAUAGAUCUAGAGGCACACAAAGUGCAGGCUGCCAAUUGAAGACCAAUGCUUUCCUCCUAACAAAAUAAACAAUGUGAUGCAUAAGGAUUUGCAAAGAAAAGAGCAGUAGGAAGGAAAAUGGCUAUACAGAGUCAUUUUCAAAGGAAAAAAUUAUGUUGCUUUGUGAUGAUAGCGAUAAGAUUACAGAGUAAGGUCACAAGGCAACCUCACAGAGAAGUUACAGGAUCAGAGGUGAGGGUAUACAGCUCAGCCCCAGAGCCCAGGCCUAUCAUGCUGCACCUCUGUGAAGUCAGUCCAAACCCAUGCAGAGCUGCUCCCCACAGUGGCAGCUUUGACAAGAGAAAGUGAGGCAGAGACUGUCAAAGUGGUGCAGAUCAGGUGGUUCACCUUAGCACAGGGACUUACAGAACACUUAGAUGCAAGUUUGCAGACAACCACUGAGCAGUGCAGGGAAUUUACACAAGGUAAUUCAUGUAUUCACUCCAUUUUUUUAAAGAUUUAUUUACUCAUUAGAAAGGCAGAGUUACAGAGGUGGAGACAGAGAGAGAGGUCUUCCAUCCACUGGUUCACUCCCCAGAUGGCCACAACAGCCAGAGCUGGACCAAUCUAAAGCCAGGAGCCAGGAGCUUCCUCCAUGCUGCACCCUGGUGCAGGGGCCCAAGAACUCUGGCCAUCCUUUACUGCUUUCCCAGGCCACAGUAGAGCUGGACCAGAAAUGGAGCAGCUGGGAUCCAAACUGGAGCCCACAUGUGUUGCCUGCACUACAGGCAGCAGCUUUACCCGCUACACCUCCGUGCUGGCCCCUUCACUCCAUUUCUUUUUGUUUUGUUUGGUAACUAUUACCAGAACGUACAUUUUUUUCUUUGCCUUGAAAAAGUAGGAUCUUGCAGUUCUAUCUAAAUUGAUAAUAAAAAAAGAAAAACAUUGUUGAAAAUUAUACACUGUAUAGAGGAUAUAAAAAGAAGGCAAAGUUCAAUGUGACAUUUGAAAAAUGAAGAUAAUUUUCUAAUUUUAAUAUAGUAAGAAUUCUACCAAUACAACACUCCUUGCAUCA